AGAGUUUGGUUGUAGCUGGCUCCUAAUUAAACUUGGGGGCAUGUGCACACCGUUUCUCUUUCAUCCCAUACACACCUGUGCACCUGUGAGACAGAUGUUUUGUGGGGGGGAAGGAACUUUAUUGGACCUUCUACUCCCCCUUGACUUCUGUCUACUUAAUUCAUAUAAACUCAAUUUAUUUUAAAACGGAUGUAAUGGAUGUAACACAUCUAAUACUAAGUUUCAACAACGGAUCUCUUGGCUCUCGCAUCGAUGAAGAACGCAGCGAAAUGCGAUAAGUAAUGUGAAUUGCAGAAUUCAGUGAAUCAUCGAAUCUUUGAACGCACCUUGCGCUCCUUGGUAUUCCUUGGAGCAUGCCUGUUUGAGUAUCAUGAAAUCUUCAAAGUCAAACCUUUUGUUAAUUCAAUUGGUUCUGCUUUGGUAUUGGAGGAUUAUUGCAGCUUCACACCUGCUCCUCUUUGUGCAUUAGCUGGAUCUCAGUGUUAUGCUUGGUUCCACUCAGCGUGAUAAGUUAUCUAUCGCUGAGGACACCCUGUUAAAAAGGGGUGGCCAAGGUAAAUGCAGAUGAACCGCUUCUAAUAGUCCAUUGACUUGGACAAUAUCUAAUUUAUGAUCUGAUCUCAAAUC
rnacentral:misc_RNA from 1 species